UUACCUUUCUUAGGAACUUCAGAAGUUCAACGCCAGCAUAUCAAGGUCAACUGUUAUCUCAUUAAGAAGAACCUUAAAUGGCUUAACGAGACCCAUGCAAAUUUGCACUCAUCUUUUUUGACCAUCAGAAACUUUGUGUGUUCUCCACAACAGAUCAAUAUUUAAAAAUAUUUAAUACUUGAUCAGUUUAGCUUUUCUCUGAUGAUCAAUUCAUGCUACACCAAAUAUCAUUUUCUUUGCAGAAACAUCCAUUUGUAUGAGAAACUCAAACCUAGCAAAAGCAACAUGCUGCCUCUACUGUCUUCCAAGAUAAUAAAGAUCUCCAAACGAUAUUAAAGCAGCGUUGUGAAAUGCAAACCUUCCUAACAUUUGAACCAUUUGAUGCUACCAUGUGCUUCCCUUCUAAUAUACAGUAUUGUUGUUUUCCCAGAACCAUUAGAUCCAAUGAGAAGGCACUGAUCACCAGAUGUUAAACGUGGUUAGAAAGAAGAAGAAGAAGAGAAUGAGGAGGAAGGAGAACACGUAGAAAAAGUGGGACCAUAUUUAUAAUAAAAAUCAUUUUUAAUGCAAAAUUUUAUGCCAUGUCAGCAGAUUUUAUCGGAGAAAGACGGAAAGUCAUGGUUUGUUAACGGAGUGAAACCUCAGGGUACCACUUUGUCACAAAGUAAGCUAUAAACCCUGAAAUCAAAAAUAAGUGAAACCAUAAGGUACUUUUUGUAAUUUCCCCAAAUGACUCAAAUAUAAGUAUAUAACAAUUGAUUUUGGCUUUGUGAGAGGACAUUAUAAUGGAAAAGAUUUUAAUUUUUGUUAAAAAGCUUUAUAUGUAUUAAUCUUAUUGGAUAUGUAUAGUUUCCAAAGCUUUGUGUCAAUGUUAAGGUAAAAUUUGCAGUUUUAUUUAGUGAAAUCUCUGCUCUAUUAACAAUUAAGUAGCUAAGCUAGCAUUAGCACAAAAGCACCUGAUUAUUUAGCAUAAUUUUAGAAUUUGGCAUAGUGUAAUUAUUCCCAACAAAUAAUUUUGCUAUUAUAUUUGUAGAAGGACAAUUAUGUAAUUUUAAUAUAAAUCACUUUAUUUCUCUUCAUUUUCCACCAAUUUGGAGGCAAAUGCUUUGGCUUAGUGAUGUAGAACAAAUAAAGAAAUUAGGAGAAAUCAAGGACCAAGUCUUGAAAGAUAGAAUUAAUUGUCAAGAUAUUGUUA
rnacentral:misc_RNA from 1 species